UCUUUUGGAUGAGCAAAGAACGUGGUUUCUUGACAUGGAAACUACUCUUGAUGAAGAAGCUAUGAA
rnacentral:pre_miRNA from 3 species